UACGUAGGGUGCGAGCGUUAAUCGGAAUUACUGGGCGUAAAGCGUGCGCAGGCGGUUUUGUAAGCCGGAUGUGAAAUCCCCGGGCUUAACCUGGGAAUGGCAUUCGGGACUGCAAGGCUGGAGUGCGGCAGAGGAGACUGGAAUUCCUGGUGUAGCAGUGAAAUGCGUAGAUAUCAGGAGGAACACCGAUGGCGAAGGCAGGUCUCUGGGCCAUAACUGACGCUGAGAAGCGAAAGCAUGGGGGAGCGAACAGG
rnacentral:rRNA from 1 species